AGUGAAAGAAGUGAAAAUGAAGCUCCAAUAAGCACACUCCGUGACAUGAUUUUGGCCCGUACCAGCUAGCACACUCCCAGAUGACAGCUAUGGCAUGAUUCAGGAGAUGGCGUGGGCGAGGGACUGUUCUCAACAGGCAUUACUGAAAAGUGAGGCAGUAGGGAGUGAAGAGCUGUUUUAGCCAACUGUGGCCAACAUUGGCAUGGGAGGAUCUACGAAAUGAUGAGCAUCUUAAGGAUGGAAAUUGGGAGGUAACAGAACUGUUAGCUUCUGCAGAAAAUUUCCGAUAAUGAUAGUGCGCUCAAAGAUUCAGACUGAAAAGUAUUACAGCCACGGCUGGCUGCAGUAGCAGCAUGCUAGGCUGGGUGACCCAUGGUUUUGUGAUAAAGAUACUUCUGAGUUUUGCAUUUAAAACAGAGAUUCUAUCAUUUUGUUACUCAUGAAGGAUAUGGCAUGCAUCCUUCAAUGUUUCAACAGUCCUUUAAAGUAUAGAUCAAAAAAAAAUACAUAAUUUGCAAGUCCUUUAAUUAGUAU